GCGGUGGUGUAAUCCAUUCUUGAGAAGGACGAUCGACAGUGGAUUUAUAAAGAUGACUGCAGCACUACGUCAAAUUGGGAAGGACCCUGAUCUAUCCCGUUUGGAUCAUCGUUGGAGGGCUUCUACUUUGGAACCUUGUGAAGAUCAUUCUAUUAUCAGAUCCUCGCCUUCAUGUUUGGUAUAUGACUUCUAAUCUCUCAUUAAUAUGCAUGCUGUAAUUGUUUGAU
rnacentral:lncRNA from 1 species